rnacentral:snRNA from 11 species
UAACGUACCUACGGCCUUUCCAUCGUGAUCACGAAGGCGAUGGGGACAUAUGGUUUCACUCCCAUAGCACACCGUGGAGUUGGGACCGUGUGCGUCAGGGCUUCGGCUUUGCCGGGUCGCAUAUUUUUGUUGGUUGGGGCGUCCUCCGGGACGCCCCGC